rnacentral:ncRNA from 1 species
UCUUGGGGACGACCCCGAGAGCUUUUAUCUGGCGGGACGGCCCGC